rnacentral:tRNA from 1 species
AGCUUCGUAGCUCAGUUGGUAGAGCAAUAGCAAGAGUCGCUUCUGAUUCAUUACCCUGUUAUUUUUUUACACCUUCUUUAACAGGUGUCGUAAGAAAGCGUUACUUCGUUAAUCUAUGGGUCGGGGGUUCGAGGCCCUCCGGAGUUG